rnacentral:rRNA from 1 species
AUUGAACGCUGGCGGCAUGCCUUACACAUGCAAGUCGAACGGCAGCACGGGGGCAACCCUGGUGGCGAGUGGCGAACGGGUGAGUAAUGCAUCGGAACGUGCCCCGUAGCGGGGGAUAACCAGUCGAAAGACUGGCUAAUACCGCAUACGCUCCACGGAGGAAGGCAGGGGAUCGCAAGACCUUGCACUAUGGGAGCGGCCGAUGCCCGAUUAGCUAGUUGGUGAGGUAAAGGCUCACCAAGGCGACGAUCGGUAGCUGGUUUGAGAGAACGACCAGCCACACUGGGACUGAGACACGGCCCAGACUCCUACGGGAGGCAGCAGUGGGGAAUUUUGGACAAUGGGCGCAAGCCUGAUCCAGCCAUGCCGCGUGCGGGAUGAAGGCCU